UUUCAAGGAACCCAGCCUAAGUGCGCCGCGUCCUGCGGCAACAGCUGCGUGACUCACAUCCUGUUAG
rnacentral:sRNA from 1 species